CACCUGCCAAUGCAGGAGACAUGGUUUGAUCCCUGGUCUGGGAGGAUCCCACACGUGGCAGAGCAACUAGCCUGUGUACCACAACUAUUAAGCCUGUGCUCUAAAGCCUGGGAGCCACAACUACUGAAGCUCCUGGGCCAAGAGCCUGUGUCCCACAAGAGAAGCCACCACAAUGAGAAGAAGCCACCACAAUGAGAAGCCACCACCGCAACCAGAGAGUGGCCCCCACUUGCUGCAACUAGGAAAAGCCCAAGCAGCAACAAAGACAUAUCACAGCCAAAAAUAAACCACAGUUCUAAGGGAUGUGCAUCUGAGAAGCAGAUGAUGGACUUCCCUGGUGGUCCAGUGGAAACUGGCAUCCAGACCCCAAGGUGAUUUUGAGACACUAGUCUACCAUCUUCUCUGCCAGCUUUCCGAAUGAAGUCACUAUUCUUUGCCUCAACACCUGUCUCCUGUCUUACUGGCUUGGCAUGGGGCAAGCAGAGCAAGCUUGGAUUCGGUACCAACAACAAAGAUACACACUCCUUUGGUUCAAGGAAAAUGGUGACAUAGAAGACUUAAAAACAAAAUUAACUUGAGUAACGCUGAAGAAGCUGAAGUUGAAUGGUUCUAUGAAGCCCUACAAGACCUUUUAGAACUAACACCCAAAAAAGAUGUCCUUUUCAUUAUAGGGGACUGGAAUGCAAAAGUAGGAAGUCAAGA
ensembl:lncRNA